rnacentral:tRNA from 1 species
GCUGCUGUAGCUCAGUCGGUAGAGCGCAUCCUUGGUAAGGAUGAGGUCCCCAGUUCGAAUCUGGGCAGCAGCUCCA